GACGAACGCUGGCGGCGUGCUUAACACAUGCAAGUCGAACGGAAAGGCCCUGCUUUUGUGGGGUGCUCGAGUGGCGAACGGGUGAGUAACACGUGAGUAACCUGCCCUUGACUUUGGGAUAACUUCAGGAAACUGGGGCUAAUACCGGAUAGGAGCUCCUGCUGCAUGGUGGGGGUUGGAAAGUUUCGGCGGUUGGGGAUGGACUCGCGGGCUAUCAGCUUGUUGGUGGGGUAGUGGCUUACCAAGGCUUUGACGGGUAGCCGGCCUGAGAGGGUGACCGGCCACAUUGGGACUGAGAUACGGCCCAGACUCCUACGGGAGGCAGCAGUGGGGAAUAUUGCACAAUGGGCGGAAGCCUGAUGCAGCAACGCCGCGUGCGGGAUGACGGCCUUCGGGUUGUAAACCGCUUUCGCCUGUGACGAAGCGUGAGUGACGGUAAUGGGUAAAGAAGCACCGGCUAACUACGUG
rnacentral:rRNA from 1 species